rnacentral:rRNA from 1 species
UUGAACGCUGGCGGCAUGCCUUACACAUGCAAGUCGAACGGUAGAGGGGCAACCCUUGAGAGUGGCGAACGGGUGAGUAAUGCAUCGGAACGUGCCCAGUCGUGGGGGAUAACGCAGCGAAAGCUGUGCUAAUACCGCAUGUGAUCUGUGGAUGAAAGCAGGGGACCGCAAGGCCUUGUGCGAUUGGAGCGGCCGAUGUCAGAUUAGCUAGUUGGUAGGGUAAAAGCCUACCAAGGCGACGAU